rnacentral:rRNA from 1 species
UACGGAGGGUGCAAGCGUUGUCCGGAUUUAUUGGGCGUAAAGAGCUCGUAGGCGGUUUGUCGCGUCUGCUGUGAAAACCCGAGGCUCAACCUCGGGCCUGCAGUGGGUACGGGCAGACUAGAGUGCGGUAGGGGAGAUUGGAAUUCCUGGUGUAGCGGUGGAAUGCGCAGAUAUCAGGAGGAACACCGAUGGCGAAGGCAGAUCUCUGGGCCGUAACUGACGCUGAGGAGCGAAAGCAUGGGGAGCGAACAGG